GCUGGUCUCAAACUCCUGACCUCAGAUGAUAUACCCACCUGAGCCUCCCAAAGUGCUGGGAUUACAGGCAUGAGCCACCGCACCCAGCCCACCACCUCUCUUAAAGGGUUAAUGCAGGGGCAGGAAGUUAAAUGAGCUGACUUUAAGGCCUCUUCUGGCAUUGCGUCUAUGAAAAACCCAAGACGAGCUACAGCUUAAUUUCCGCCCACAUUUCCAGGUUGUAAUUACUCCACCAUGAUGUGGAUUGAGGGAGGGUACAAGAGCCUAGAGUCUGCUGAAGCUAAGAGAUCUGGCCUCUUCCCUCCACAGCUUCUCAGAGGACCUAGAAGUCUUGAAGGGAUACCAGCAACAAUAAUAACAGUAACAAAACCUCUAGUGGCAAUGGUUUUCUCUGCAACUCCUACUGUGGCUUCUGUAUGUACCUUCGGCUACCACCCUGGGUUACUGCUCCCUUAUUUGAGAUACAAAUGGUGCUCUCAAUGACCCAAACCCAGUCCCAGCUACAUCUUCACUCGCACACCAUGACUAAACUUCCUGACUGCCACUGAAACCCCAACUUCGUGUGAAUCUGCUCUGGAGAGAGCUUCAUUACCUGGGUGGCCUUGUCAUUGGUGCAGCAGGUGAAGGCCCCAUCAGCAUCUCGUGGCCACUGGCCCAGAAGGUAGGAGCUGAGGAUGGUGUCCAGGGAGAAUGUACGCCGGACCUGAAGUGGCUGAGGCCUACACACUGACUUUUCUGGGGCCACCGAGCAUGGGACGCUGGCUGCAAGAGAACACAGCCCGCACACCUUGCCAUCAGCAUGGAGGAAGGAGACGUGCCAAUCACCUUCCUCCUCUAAGAGAUGUGGCCUGCCUGCCCAGUCUUCACUCAUACCCACCACUGUCCUAAAAUAAUUUGAAGCAGCCUGAAACAGCACAUAUGGUCUGACCAAGAGCUUUCCUGACCUACUCAGCCAGCCUUUAUCAUGGGAAACAAUUUAUACCAUUUUACUUUGGACUUGGACAUUACUUUAUAAAUGUCCUCUAUCCUUUUCCUACCCCUAAUGGACUAUGAACCAUGAACUCCUAGAUCUCCACACUGAGUUUCCUGAGAGCAGCACUGUUUCCCAUCAUUAAAGAUAAAACUCUAAGUGGAUAAAAAACAAAU